GGGGAUUCAACACACCAGUUUGGAAGAUGCCAGACUGUUCUCAAGAGGAAUAAUGUGGCUGGGAUAAGUAUAACCUGAGAACCAGAAUUCCCUCAGUCUUCCAUAUCAAUGAUCACUCCUGGCAAAAUUAUUCCCACAAGAAACAUGAGUGGAUUCCCAAGAACUUUCUGGUUGCUAUGACGAUGAUCAUGGGAUACAGGAUGAAGAGCAAAGGCCAUGGAUAAACAGAAGAGAUGGCAAAGUGUCAGAGUCACACAGCAGGCAGGCUGCAGCACAUUGCUCACAGACUUGGGGGUCAAAGAAGAUGGUUUGGGUUUGCCAUGAGCCAAGAAGUACGCAUGUUCCAACAUGUGGGGUAGAUAUUUUUUCUGAGAAGGAAAUAUUUUGUCAUAACAUGGACUUAAGUUAAACCAAAAAGCAGAAGAGGAUGUUGAUUUUCAUAGGGCAUCCAUAUCUGAGAAAUCAACCUGUCACAUCUGCUAAUAAAUGCAAAAGAGAAGGAAAAGAAAAGCAUUGGUCAUCUUGAAACUGAUGUUAUUCAGCUGUCAACAUACCUUGCAAAUGCUGAGCCCGGUGUUAUUGACAGUUUAGUGUUGUCAGAUUGACUAAAUGGACUGGGGCUUCACUUCUAAGUGGCUCUUCAAACGGAAAGCUGAAAGAACUGUGUCACCUUAAUGGAGAAAGACUAAGAAGAUUCUCUCUCUGAAUAUAUCUAGUGGAAGUGUGAAUGGAAGAGGGACGAAUUUUAUGCUGACUAAAAUAAAAAAAUGAAAUCAAUUGAAAAAUUUCUAUUCAAAGACACUUCAAAAUAAACACUGAAAUAUUUAUUGCCUUCAAGAAAAAAAAAACAUUACUCUAGAUAUAUCCCCAAUUAGUUCCUUCUGAGCUAAGUAAAAAAUCCUGGGGCUGAUACUGGCAGAUACUUUCUGACAACUGGGCCAAACCUCCAGGAUUUCUAUCAACUUCCAAACACAGGGAAGGCCCAGACUCUGUGCCAUAUGGAAUUGCAGACGGGAAAUUCAGACACCCAAAUGUGCACAGUAGUGAGUGAGCUGGGAUGGCUAUGUAACUGGUAGGUGGCAAGAAGAAUUCAGCAUCAUGCCUUCUUCUAGGAGGAAGAAGUCUAGAAGGGACAAGCAGAUGUUUAAUUCCAGUUUCAUGGUGAUGGUCAAGGCUUAAAGCCAAUGAAACAACUUCGACUUUUCCGCUGGAGCACAAGGGCUAGCUAUUUGGAGAAGCUUAUGGAAGUGCAUCAUGGGAUAUAGCAUCUUUCUGUGAACACCGCAUGAAGGUAUUCUGAAUACUUUUCACUUUUACUCAUAAAAUUUGAUCAAAACCACAGCGAAAGUGCAACUUUUGUGUUUUGAUUUCAAGUGUGUCUUUGAAGGAGCCUCUGAAGAUGGAUCAGGGACCUAACUAUUAACUACUUCUAGCAAAUGCUCCCAAAGGGCAUCACGAGCUCACUAUGGUUUGGGAAAAAAAAUCUGCUUAAAAGUAUUAGAAAGGAAGAAUAACUAUUGAAUAGGAUAUUUAGAAUGAAAAACUGGACACAAACUGUGCUGUCCACUUUGAAAUCAUUUAAAGCACAGGAAUGUGGAUGGCUCUGUAUAGCGCAAAGCUGACUGAUAUGCCUUCUCACUGAAGAUAAUGAAAACCCCACUGUGAGUGCUUGUCAGGGUCUCUUUGAAAACUGCAUUUCUUUUGCACUCCCUCGAGCACACUCAUGUAUCUCAGCCUCAUCUGACACUGACACAGUCUUCUAGGAAAUGCUGGAGAUGUACUGUUUUUAUGCAACAUGGCCACCUAUCCUCAACACCAGUGUGCAGUUUAGCAAGACAGAGCUGUGACUUUUUCUCACUGCUGCUGUUGUGACUGGAGAGGAUUGGAGAUUUCCAAGGAUCCAAUCUAGGCAAUCACUUCUAUAAGAUUAUCUCACUGUUGGGCUUCCUGUCAUAUAUUUGUUUCUAAGAAGAAAUAACAGAUUUCAAAUCUUUAAGCAUGAAAGUAACAUUUGUUUAUGGUGCAGAUAACAUCAUUGAUAACUUUGAAUGUGUGUGUGUGUGUGUGUGUGUGUGUGUGUGUGUG